rnacentral:tRNA from 1 species
GGGUCGUUAGCUCAAUUGGCAGAGCUCCGGACUUUUAAUCCGUAGGUUGUGGGUUCGAGUCCCACACGACCCACCA